rnacentral:rRNA from 1 species
AGAGUUUGAUCAUGGCUCAGGAUAAACGCUGGCGGCGUGCCUAAUGCAUGCAAGUCGAACGGAUAAUUCGCAAGAGUUAUUAGUGGCAAACGGGUGAGUAACACGUGGGGAUCUGCCCAGUAGUGGGGAACAACUCCGAGAAAUCGGAGCUAAUACCGCAUACGGUAGUUGUGGAGACACAGCAUACUAAAGCCUUCGCAAGAGGGUGCUAUUGGAGGAACCUGCGGCUGAUUAGCUAGUUGGUGGGGUAAAGGCCUACCAAGGCGAUGAUCAGUAGCUGGUCUGAGAGGAUGGACAGCCACACUGGGACUGAGAUACGGCCCAGACUCCUACGGGAGGCAGCAGCAAGGAAUUUUCGUCAAUGGGGGCAACCCUGAACGAGCAACGCCGCGUGGGCGAAGAAGUCCCUCGGGAUGUAAAGCCCUUUUCCCUGUGAAGAAAGAAAGACGGUAACAGGGGAAUAAGCAUCGGCUAACUCCGUGCCAGCCGCCGCGGUAAUAC